UACGGGGGGAGCAAGCGUUGUUCGGAUUUACUGGGCGUAAAGGGCGCGUAGGCGGUCAGCACAAGUCAGUUGUGAAAUCUCCGGGCUUAACUCGGAAAGGUCAACUGAUACUGUGCGACUAGAGUGCAAAAGGGGCAACUGGAAUUCUCGGUGUAGCGGUGAAAUGCGUAGAUAUCGGGAAGAACACCCGUGGCGAAGGCGGUUCUCUGGGACGGUACUGACGCUGAGACGCGAAAGCGUGGGGAGCGAACAGG
rnacentral:rRNA from 1 species